rnacentral:rRNA from 1 species
AUUGAACGCUGGCGGCAUGCCUUACACAUGCAAGUCGAACGGUAACAGGUCUUCGGAUGCUGACGAGUGGCGAACGGGUGAGUAAUGCAUCGGAACGUGCCCAGUAGUGGGGGAUAGCCCGGCGAAAGCCGGAUUAAUACCGCAUACGACCUGAGGGUGAAAGGGGGGGAUCGCAAGACCUCUCGCUAUUGGAGCGGCCGAUGUCAGAUUAGCAAGUUAGGGGGGUAAAGGCCUACCAAGGCCACGAUCUGUAGUUGGUCUGAGAGGACGACCAGCCAGACUGGGACUGAGACACGGCGCAGACUCCUACGGGAGGAAGCAGUGGGGAAUUUUGGACAAUGGGCGCAAGCCUGGUCCAGCAAUGCCGCGUGCAGGAAGAAGGCCUUCGGGUUGUAAACUGCUUUUGUCAGGGAAGAAAUCUUCUGGGUUAAUACCUCGGGAGGAUGACGGUACCUGAAGAAUAAGCACCGGCUAACUACGUGCCAGCAGCCGCCGCAGUAA